GAUGAACGCUAGCGAUAGGCUUAACACAUGCAAGUCGAGGGGCAGCACAAGGUAGCUUUCUAUCUGGGUGGCGACCGGCACACGGGUGCGUAACGCGUAUGCAACUUUCCCUAUACAGGAGGAUAACCCGUCGAAAGACGGACUAAUACUGCGUAUGCUCACAACUUGGCAUCAAGUGGUGAGGAAAGAAAUUCGGUAUAGGAUAGGCAUGCGUCCCAUUAGCUUGUUGGUGAGGUAACUGCUCACCAAGGCAACGAUGGGUAGGGGAACUGAGAGGUUUAUCCCCGAGACGGGUACUGAGAAAAGUACCAGAGUCCUACGGGAGGCAGCAGUGAGGAAUAUUGGUCAAUGGGAGCGAGCAUGAACGAGCGAAGUCGCGUGAAGGAUGACUGUGUGAUGGAUUGUAGCCUUCUUUUAGACGGGAAUAACAAGAGUCACGUGUGACUCACUGCAUGUACCGUAUGAAUAAGCAUCGGCUAACUCCGUG
rnacentral:rRNA from 1 species